UACGAGCGCGACGAUCUAUUAUAGCUGGUCUGAGAGGAUGAUCAGCCACACUGGGACUGAGACCACGGCCCAUAGACUCCUACGGGAGGCAGCAGUGGGGAAUAUUGGACAAUGGGCCGAAAGCUACUGAUCGCAGCAAUCGCCGCGUGAGUGAUGAAGGCCUUAGGGUUGUACAAGCUCAUUUUUGACCAGGGAUGAUAAUGACAGUACCUGGAGAAUAAGCUCCGGCCUAACUAUCGCGUGCCAGCAGCCGCGGUAAUACGGGACGGGAGCUAGCGUUGUUCGGACAUUAGUACUGGGCGUAAAGAGUACGUAGGCGGUUAUUCAAGUCAGAGGUGAAAGCCGUACUGGAGCUCAACUCCAGAACUGCCUUUGAAACUAGAUAGCUAGAAUCUUGGGCUAAGAGGUGAGUGGAAUUCCGAGUGUAGAGGUGAAAUUCGUA
rnacentral:rRNA from 1 species